rnacentral:rRNA from 1 species
GACGAACGCUGGCGGCGUGCUUAACACAUGCAAGUCGAACGGAAAGGCCCCUUUGGGGGUACUCGAGUGGCGAACGGGUGAGUAACACGUGAGUAACCUGCCCUUGACUUCGGGAUAACUUCAGGAAACUGGGGCUAAUACCGGAUAGGAAUCCUUGCUGCAUGGUGGGGGUUGGAAAGCUUCGGCGGUUUUGGAUGGACUCGCGGCUUAUUAGCUUGUUGGUGGGGUAGUGGCUUACCAAGGCUUUGACGGGUAGCCGGCCUGAGAGGGCGACCGGCCACAUUGGGACUGAGAUACGGCCCAGACUCCUACGGGAGGCAGCAGUGGGGAAUAUUGCACAAUGGGCGGAAGCCUGAUGCAGCAACGCCGCGUGCGGGAGGACGGCCUUCGGGUUGUAAACCGCUUUCAGCAGGGGCGAAGCUUGUGGUGACGGUACCUGCAGAAGAAGCACCGGCUAACUACGUG